CGGAGGUGAGUAAUGUCUGGGAAACUGCCUGAUGAGGGGGGAUAACUACUGGAAACGGUAGUUAAUACCGCAUAACGUCGCAAGACCAAAGAGGGGGACCUUCGGGCCUCUUGCCAUCGGAUGUGCCCAGAUGGGAUUAGCUAGUAGGUGGGGUAACGGCUCACCUAGGCGACGAUCCCUAGCUGGUCUGAGAGGAUGACCAGCCACACUGGAACUGAGACACGGUCCAG
rnacentral:rRNA from 1 species